CACACACCAGAGCCCUUCUCCCUUUUUAAUUUAACCUCUGAAUUUAAUGAGUCACCACUGAGAGGGCAGGCCGGGAGCUUUGUGCUCCCAGGAAAUCCUGGAAAACUCCGUGUCCAAGGCUCUGCUUCCCAAGGUGCUGUUUAUUUUUGUGGGCUAUUGAUUUGCUGCCAGGAUGAAGUGGAUUUAAUUUUAACUGAUAGUCCAGUGGUUCAUUGUGGUUUUAAAUUCUUGGUGAGGCUCGUGUUUGCAGGGCCUGGGGAGGGAGGGGAUUCCUCACAAACACCACUGAGCAGGGAAAGUGAAAUAUUUCCCUGUGCGAUCCCUGCACUGCUGCAGCCUAAAGGAGCCUGGGGAAAUAACUCAGAUAUGGAUAAAUGGAGACAUAAAUCCUGCUGUAAAUAGGGAAUAGCACAGGGACAGGUGGAUUUCUCACCUUUUCAGCUCCUUUUGUCUGGCCCUGCAGGCCAGAAGCAGCACAGGACCCCAGAAGGGUUUGGGUGGGAAGGAACCUGCAAACAUCUCAUCCCACCUUCCACCAGAGGCUGGGAAUGUUCCAGAAGAUCUGGACACGAUCCUGUGCCAGCUGGACCCACUGGGGUCUCCUCCAAGCUGAUCCAGUCUGGGAUCUGCUGGUUCUGCUCUGG
rnacentral:lncRNA from 1 species